rnacentral:rRNA from 1 species
AUUAGUCGUUUAAUACCGCUGACUGAAUUGACCGUACCCCCAGAUAGAAGCCCCGCUAAUCUUCUGCAGCAAGCGCGCGUAUUACGAAGGUGCCAUGCGUAUCGGAUAUCUAGGGCGUUAACGCGGCACGCAGGCGGUCCGUCUAAGUCGGAUGGUGGAAUCCCAGGGCUCAACCUCGCGAUCUGCACUCUGAAUCUGCAAGUCAUGAGUCAUGUAGAGGGGGGGUAGAAUUUCCAGGCGCAGCGGUGCAAUUCGUAGAGAAUUUCGGAGGAAUACCCGGUGGGCGAAAGGCGGCCCCCUGGACACAGACCUGACCGCUUCAAGGUUGGGAAAGCGUGGGGGGAGGCAAAACAGGGAUUAGAUUCCCUUGGUAGUUUCACCCCCGUAAAACGAUGUCGACUUAGACGGUUGUGCCCGUGAGGACGUGGCUUGCCGCAGCUAACGCGUUAAGUCAGUCCGCCUGGGGAGUACGGCCGCAAGGAUUAAAACUCAAAUGAAUUGACGGGGGCCCGCACAAGCGGUGGAGCAUGUGGUUUAAUUCGAUGCAACGCGAAGAACCUUACCUACUCUUGACAUCCAGAGAACUUAGCAGAGAUGCUUUGGUGCCUUUGGGAACUCUGAGACAGGUGCUGCAUGGCUGUCGUCAGCUCGUGUUGUGAAAUGUUGGGUUAAGUCCCGCAACGAGCGCAACCCUUAUCCUUUGUUGCCAGCGGUCCGGCCGGGAACUCAAAGGAGACUGCCAGUGAUUAACUGGAGGAAGGUUGGGAUGACGUCAAGUCAUCCUGGCCCUUUCGAGUAGGGCUACCCCCCUGCUACAAUGGGGCAUACAAAGAGAAGCGACCUCGCGAGAGCAAGCGGACCUCAUAAAGUGCGUCGUAGUCCGGAUUGGAGUCUGCAACUCGACUCCAUGAAGUCGGAAUCGCUAGUAAUCGUAGAUCAGAAUGCUACGGUGAAUACGUUCCCGGCCCUUGUCCACACCGCCCGUCCCACCAUGGGAGUGGGUUGCAAAAGAAGUAGGUAGCUUAACCUACGGGAGCACGCUUCGAGAGAACUGG